rnacentral:rRNA from 1 species
UAGCUAGUUGGUGGGGUAAGGGCCUACCAAGGCGACGAUCGGUAGCUGGUCUGAGAGGAUGACCAGCCACACUGGAACUGAGACACGGUCCAGACUCCUACGGGAGGCAGCAGUGGGGAAUAUUGGACGAUGGGGGGAACCCUGAUCCAGCAAUGCCGCGUGUGUGAAGAAGGCCUGAGGGUUGUAAAGCACUUUCAGUAGGGAGGAGGGUAAUUAGGUUAAGAGCUAGAUUACUGGACGUUACCUACAGAAGAAGCACCGGCUAACUCCGUGCCAGCAGCCGCGGUAAUACGGAGGGUGCGAGCGUUAAUCGGAAUUACUGGGCGUAAAGGGUGCGUAGGUGGUUAAUUAAGUUAUGUGUAAAAUCCCUGGGCUCAACCUGGGCAGGUCAUAUAAUACUGAUUGACUCGAGUAUGGGAGAGGGUAGUGGAAUUUCCGGUGUAGCGGUGAAAUGCGUAGAGAUCGGAAGGAACACCAGUGGCGAAGGCGGCUACCUGGCCUAAUACUGACACUGAGGCACGAAAGCGUGGGGAGCAAACAGGAUUAGAUACCCUGGUAGUCCACGCUGUAAACGAUGUCAACUAGCUGUUGGUUAUAUGAAAAUAAUUAGUGGCGC